rnacentral:misc_RNA from 1 species
AUUGAUGAUGAUUAUUGGUUUCAAUCCAACCCCAAAGUCAGCAUUUCAGAGUUGUGGGGGACCAGCAGUAAUUAGCAACCAAAAAGUGAGAUUCAUUAAUUUACAAUUUUUGAAAUAGUUGAGCCUGUCAUAUAAUUUGAAGGUCUAACUUAUUAUCAGCCAGGACAAUUCAUGCGUUUACAUACUUUCUACAAUCAACAGCGAGGAUUUAGAUCUGUUAGAUGGCAUCCUUGAUGCCUCUGGGAAGAGUUGGUCACUAUUUUGGUUGUGCUGUUCAUAAGGUACUUGUAAGUGUAAAUUUUGUAGGUUUAUUUUUCAUUUUUAUUUUGAUAGAGUAUAGCUACUUCAAUUUUUUUUACCUUAAAUUAAUGCUAACCAUUUAAGAAAUUAGGAAAUGCAUAGCUAUGGAUGCUGGAUCUCGCCAGUUGUCUUUUAUCUCUUAUCUUAAGGGAACCCUUAAUUAUCACGCACAUUUUGUG